rnacentral:tRNA from 1 species
UUUUAUCGUGGUCUAGUGGCUAGGAUAUCUGCCUCUCACCCAGGAGGCCUGGGUUCGAUUCCCGGCGUGGAAU